rnacentral:rRNA from 1 species
GGAGUAGCAUACUCAGAUGGCGACCGGCGCACGGGUGAGUAACACGUAUCCAACCUGCCGCGUUACUCGGGGAAUAGACCUUUCGAAAGAAAGUAUUAAUACCCGAUGGUAUAAAGAGUUCGCAUGUUCUCUUUAUUAAAGAAUUUCGGUAAGCGAUGGGGAUGCGUUCCAUUAGAUAGUUGGCGGGGUAACGGCCCACCAAGUCUACGAUGGAUAGGGGUUCUGAGAGGAAGGUCCCCCACAUUGGAACUGAGACACGGUCCAAACUCCUACGGGAGGCAGCAGUGAGGAAUAUUGGUCAAUGGACGAGAGUCUGAACCAGCCAAGUAGCGUGAAGGAUGACUGCCCUAUGGGUUGUAAACUUCUUUUAUAAGGGAAUAAAGUGAGGGACGUGUCCCUUUUCGUAUGUACCUUAUGAAUAAGGAUCGGCUAACUCCGUGCCAGCAGCUGC